GACGAACGCUGGCGGCGUGCUUAACACAUGCAAGUCGAACGGAAAGGCCCUGCUUUUGUGGGGUGCUCGAGUGGCGAACGGGUGAGUAACCCGUGAGUAACCUGCCCUUGACUUUGGGAUAACUUCAGGAAACUGGGGCUAAUACCGGAUAGGAGCUCCUGCUGCAUGGUGUGGGUUGGAAAGUUUCGGCGGUUGGGGAUGGACUCGCGGCUUAUCAGCUUGUUGGUGGGGUAGUGGCUUACCAAGGCUUUGACGGGUAGCCGGCCUGAGAGGGUGACCGGCCACAUUGGGACUGAGAUACGGCCCAGACUCCUACGGGAGGCAGCAGUGGGGAAUAUUGCACAAUGGGCGGAAGCCGGAUGCAGCAACGCCGCGUGCGGGAUGACGGCCGUCGGGUUGUAAACCGCUUUCGCCUGUGACGAAGCGUGAGUGACGGUAAUGGGUAAAGAAGCACCGGCUAACUACGUG
rnacentral:rRNA from 1 species